rnacentral:rRNA from 1 species
UACGUAGGGUGCGAGCGUUGUCCGGAAUUACUGGGCGUAAAGAGCUCGUAGGUGGUUUGUCGCGUUGUUCGUGAAAUCUCACGGCUUAACUGUGAGCGUGCGGGCGAUACGGGCAGACUAGAGUACUGCAGGGGAGACUGGAAUUCCUGGUGUAGCGGUGGAAUGCGCAGAUAUCAGGAGGAACACCGGUGGCGAAGGCGGGGUCUCUGGGCAGUAACUGACGCUGAGGAGCGAAAGCGUGGGGAGCAAACAGG